UAGAAGGAUGCCCGUUGGUUGGGGCUCUUAGCUGUUAACUAAGAAUUUGUAGGAUCGAGGCCUACCCUUCUAG
rnacentral:tRNA from 1 species